rnacentral:rRNA from 1 species
UACGGGGGGGGCAAGCGUUGUUCGGAAUUACUGGGCGUAAAGGGCUCGUAGGCGGCCAACUAAGUCAGACGUGAAAUCCCUCGGCUUAACCGGGGAACUGCGUCUGAUACUGGAUGGCUUGAGGUUGGGAGAGGGAUGCGGAAUUCCAGGUGUAGCGGUGAAAUGCGUAGAUAUCAAGAGGAACACCUGCGGCGAAGGCGGGUUGCUGGGCCGACACUGACGCUGAGGCGCGAAAGCCAGGGGAGCGAACGGG